ACCAGAUUACUUUGUUAUAUCCUAAACAUUAUGCAAAUGAUCUGUAUCUCACAGUGUCCAAACAAUAACAGUCCCUAAAUAUCUACAGACUCCAUUCAGACCGCAGUGAGGAUCACAGACGUCACCUUUGACCCCUGUAACAGCGCGGCUUACCUGCACUGAGGUGAGCGGGAGUCCUGAGACGGAGAGGACGGCGGUGUGAGAGCGCUGGAGCAUGUACGGAGACCGCUGAAGUCUCUGAUGUGCAGCGGCGUGAGUCUGACGUUAAUCUCACUUCAGGAGAUGAUUAUCUGGCUGAACCUCCAGACACAUUCAGACCGGAGACUCACCUGAAAUCGUUUAGUGCUCAGGCAGGAGGAGGAAGACGAUCAAUAAAUAUCUUUGGGAAAUAAUUGAUUAAAUCCAGCAGCCGGUGUGGUUGAAGAGAGGUCUGUCCUCGUCUGCUGAAUUAAUCAGCGGUGUAUUUCUGCACAAGACGUCCGAUAUCUUCAGUACGUCUCUGUAAAUCAAUGGACUGCAGCUCUCUGCUGUGUGCCAGGCUCAGAUUUGUUGACCGUGUGUGUGUGUGUGUGUGUGUGUGUUUCUGAGAUAAAGCAUCUCUCUUUCUCCCAGUUUGAGUGAUUGUGCUGUGAAUCCCAUCCGUAUCUGAGCUCAGAUCACUCACCUGAUGGAGGAUUGACCUGCAGCGAACGCAGAAUAAUCACAAAUUAAAUCUAUUCAUUUCUAAUUCACAAAUUGGUUAUUUUGAUCACAAAUGAGAUCUCCGCUGCUUCUCCUAGACAGAAGUAUAGUGCAAAUGGAGUGUUUUUAGAUGGAAAAACUAACAUAUUUCAGCUAGUUACCAAGUCAAGAGUUAAUUUCUAUUUGAUGAAAUAUAAAAUAUACGACUGAAACAGUAAUAUAACUUAGUAUAAUAUUAUUACUAAACAUUAUAUAAUAAAUAUAAGUAAUAAAUAUUAGUAUAAUAAUAUAUCUAUAUAUUAUUUAGAGUGAUUGCUGUAUAUUCUCUCACAAUUUUUGGGCAAAAUAAAACAAGCAGAGAAAAUCUUUUUGAGAUUAAGACAUUUUUAUAUAAAUAUUAGUAUUUUAUUUAUGCAUUAUAAAAUACAAUUAUUGUUGUUGUUGUUAUAUUAAAGCCGAA
rnacentral:lncRNA from 1 species